GUACUCGCUUCGGCGGUAUAUAUACUAAAAUUGGAAAGAAACAGAGAAGUUUCACAUGGCCCCUGCGCAAGGAUGAUACGCAAAAUCGUGAAGCUUUCCAUAUUUUU
rnacentral:snRNA from 1 species